AUGGCUUUCUGGAUGUUGCUGGCGUGCAUAGCAGCACUCUUUGCCCAGUAUUCCAGUGGACAGAAUAUUCUAACUCAGACUCCAGAGGUUCAGACUGUUCUAUUAGGACAAAGUGUCUCCAUCAAGUGCGAAGCACAAAGCUCUGUAACAAACAACUACCUGCACUGGUACCUGCAGAGACCUGGUAAAAGGUCUAAACUUCUGAUCUAUGAUGCAAACAAUAGUGCCUCUGGGAUUCCAAUGCGUUUCAUUGGAAGUGGAUCAGGAACUGACUUCACUUUGACCAUCAGUGAGAUCCAAACUGAGGAUGCAGGUAUCUAUUACUGUCACCAGACUUGGAUUCCUGUCCCAUAA